GCUCCUGUGGCCUAGUUGGAUAGGGCAUUGGUCUUAUGAGCCAAGGGUCGCGGGUUCGAGCCCCGCCAGGAGCA
rnacentral:tRNA from 1 species